rnacentral:misc_RNA from 1 species
AUCAUACACCUGUUAUCCCCAUACUUUAUCACGUUUUACUGUUUUGUCGAAAAAUUGUUUAAAUGGAUUUAUACGGCCAAGAUUCCGAAACUGUAGAUGGUGAACAAGAUUUAUUUAAACCAGAGUACAAAAAAUACAAACGAAAGGACAUUAAGCUCGAUCUUGGUGAUGUCAUCGACUUUACAAAGCAAAACAAUAUGGACAUUGUCCAAGAAAUUGUACUGCAAGAGUCUCAGCAUCCUGCAGUGAGAGGCCUAAAACCAGUAAAAGAAUGGAAGAGUUACGCUAUCAAAGGAUUUCCAGGGUUCAUCUUCAUCAGGAAUCCGUUUGAGGAUGGCCACCAGAGGUACUGGAUUGAAAGGUGUGUCCUGGACUACCCUAACAAACCCAGCAAGACCAUUCUGGACAAUUUGGUGGACAUGAGUAAUGUCAGUGAUGUUUGGCUCACCAGUCAAAAAGAGUCAGGGUCAAAUAUUACAAAUAAGGACAGUCUAAUUAUGAAGCUAAGGUGGGCAACAAUGGGCUAUAACUAUGAAUGGAAUUCAAGGGUAAGUUGUUGAGAAGAAUGUUAUCAAAGUUAUUACAAGGUUUUUAAACUUUAGAAGUCAUACAAGAGUAAGUAAUGAAACAGAAGUGAACAUUUCAGAUCAAUGAUUUAAAUUGGUUAAUAGACUAAAUCAUUAUUUGGUUUUAUCAGUAUUUCUAUGAACAUAAUGGAUUUCUUAAGAAAUAGUGGAGAAAAUUCUUUGUACAUGUAUACCAGUAUAAAUGGUUAUUGUUUCUUUGAAGAACAUAAUCAUUUAUUAUACACUGGAACACACUCACACCUACAGGUACUUGUGUGUGUAUAAAUGCAAGUGAAAUGUACUGAUAUCAUGUUUAAUAACAUAAAAAGAAGCAAUCAAUUUAAUCUCUAGAGAAAUAUGCUAUUUACAGGCCUACUAUGAUGAAAUGAAGUCCCAGUUUCCCUCUGAUUUACACGAGCUCUGUCGAUUCAUUGCCUCCACUAUAGGCUAUCACAACUUCUCAGCAGAGACAGCCAUUGUGAACUAUUAUCACAUGUCUGGAGACAUGGGACCCCACAAAGACAUCUCAGAAAUUGACCAUGAUGCUCCACUUCUUUCAUUCAGUUUUGGUCAGGAUGCUUUGUUCCUGCUCGGUGGAUUGACAAAGGCCACAAAACCGGUUUGUCUGAGUCUCCACAGCGGCGACGUGUGCAUUAUGUACGGGGACUGUCGUCUGGUGUACCACGCCGUGCCCCGGAUUCUGUCAGCCGACAAAGAUAACCUUAAACACUGCUACAACUUUAAUGAAGAUUCACCUUAUCAUGGAAACAAAACAUCGGAGGAAAAUGACCCCAAAUCUCCAGAUGUGUCAGAGGGAUUAGCAGCUAGACGACAGGAAGUCCAGUGGGGCUUGUUUAGUCAGUAUGUCCAGUGUACCAGGAUUAACAUGAAUGUGAGGCAGGUCCUACCCCCUGGGGGCACAAACAUUGCAGAUUACCCCCAGCCUGUCUGUCCAUCAGUGAACUGUAAAACAGGAAAGACAUCAUCUAUACAUAAUGACACUGAGCAAACACAGAGCUGAGGAUUGUAUUGGGAAUAUCUUAAUGUACUAUUAUUCUGAUGCUGUGAUAAUUGACAUGGAGAACAGUUUUUGCAUGAGUAUUUUGUGAAAAAAUAUACUGUCAUUCAGCAAUAAAUCUUCUUAAAAAUUUC